CAGCCGCCGCGGGAAAACGUAGGGCGCAAGCGUUAUCCGGAAUUAUUGGGCGUAAAGAGCUCGUAGGCGGUUUGUCGCGUCUGCCGUGAAAGUCCGGGGCUCAACCCCGGAUCUGCGGUGGGUACGGGCAGACUAGAGUGAUGUAGGGGAGACUGGAAUUCCUGGUGUAGCGGUGAAAUGCGCAGAUAUCAGGAGGAACACCGAUGGCGAAGGCAGGUCUCUGGGCAUUAACUGACGCUGAGGAGCGAAAGCAUGGGGAGCGAACAGGAUUAGAGACCCCUGUAGUCCCUGUCUCUUAUAC
rnacentral:rRNA from 1 species